AGUCGAACGGCAGCACGGACUUCGGUCUGUGGCGAGUGGCGAACGGGUGAGUAAUGUAUCGGAACGUGCCUAGUAGCGGGGAUAACUACGCGAGCGUGGCCAAUACCGCAUACGCCCUUCGGGGGAAAGCGGGGACCUUCGGGCCUCGCACUAGGAGCGGCCGAUAUCGGAUUAGCUAGUUGGUGGGGUAACGGCUCACCAAGGCGACGAUCCGUAGCUGGUUUGAGAGGACGACCAGCCACACUGGGACUGAGACACGGCCCAGACUCCUACGGGAGGCAGCAGUGGGGAAUUUUGGACAAUGGGGAAACCCCGCCAUCCCGCGUGUGCGAUGAAGGCCUUCGGGUUGUAAAAAGCACUUUUGGCAGGAAAGAAACGGCACGGGAUAAUACCCCGUGCAACUGACGGUACCUGCAGAAUAAGCACCGGCUAACUACGUGCCAGCAGCCGCGGUAAUACGUAGGUGCAAGCGUUAAUCGGAAUUACUGGGCGUAAAGCGUGCGCAGGCGGUUCGGAAAGAAAGAUGUGAAUCCUGAGUUUACAACUUUGGAACUGCAUUUUUAAUUACCGAGCUAGAGUGUGUCAGGGAGGGAGGUGGAAUUCGCGUGUAGCAGUGAGUGCGUAGAUAUGCGGAGGAACACCGAUGGCGAAGGCAGCCUCCUGGGAUAACACUGACGCUCAUGCACGAAAGUGGGGAGCAAACAGGAUUAGAUACUCCCGUAGUCCACGCCCUAAACGAUGUCAACUAGCCGUUGGGGCCUCUGGCCUUGGUAGCGCAGCUAACGCGUGAAGUUGACCGCCUGGGGAGUACGGCCUAAGAUUAAAACUCAAAGGAAUUGACGGGACCCGCACAAGCGGUGAUGAUGAUUAAUUCGAUGCAACGCGAAACCUUACCUACCCUUGACAUGUCUGAAUCCCGAAGAGAUUUGGGAGUGCUCGCAAGAGAACCGGAACACAGGUGCUGCAUGGCUGUCGUCAGCUCGUGUCGCGUGAGAUGUUGGGUUAAGUCCCGCAACGAGCGCAACCCUUGUCAUUAGUUGCUACGAAAGGGCACUUUAAUGAGACUGCCGGUGACAAAACCGGAGGAAGGUGGGGAUGACGCUGGUUCCUCAUGGCCCUUAUGGGUAGGGCUUCACACGUCAUACAAUGGUCGGGACAGGGUCGCCAACCCGCGAGGGGGAGCCAAUCCCAGAAACCCGAUCGUAGUCCGAUCGCAGUCUGCAACCUGACUGCGUGUCGGAAUCGCUAGUAAUCGCGGAUCAGCAUGUCGCGGUGAAUACGUUCCCGGGUCUUGUACACACCGCCCGUCACACCAUGGGAGUGGGUUUUACCAGAAGUAGUUAGCCUAACCGUAAGGAGGGCGAUUACCACGGUAGGAUUCAUGACUGGGGUGAAGUCGUAACAAAGGUAA
rnacentral:rRNA from 1 species